rnacentral:rRNA from 1 species
GACGAACGCUGGCGGCGUGCCUAAUACAUGCGAGUCGAGCGAGUCUGCCUUGAAGAUCGGAGUGCUUGCACUCUGUGAAACAAGAUACAGGCUAGAGGCGGACGGGUGAGUAACACGUGGGUAACCUGCCCAAGAGAUCGGGAUAACACCUGGAAACAGAUGCUAAUACCGGAUAACAACAGAUGAUGCCUAUCAACUGUUUAAAAGAUGGUUCUGCUAUCACUCUUGGAUGGACCUGCGGUGCAUUAGCUAGUUGGUAGGGUAACGGCCUACCAAGGCGAUGAUGCAUAGCCGAGUUGAGAGACUGAUCGGCCACAUUGGGACUGAGACACGGCCCAAACUCCUACGGGAGGCAGCAGUAGGGAAUCUUCCACAAUGGACGCAAGUCUGAUGGAGCAACGCCGCGUGAGUGAAGAAGGGUUUCGGCUCGUAAAGCUCUGUUGUUGGUGAAGAAGGACAGGGGUAGUAACUGACCUUUGUUUGACGGUAAUCAAUUAGAAAGUCACGGCUAACUAAGUG